GACGAACGCUGGCGGCGUGCUUAACACAUGCAAGUCGAACGGAAAGGCCCUGCUUUUGUGGGUUGCUCGAGUGGCGAACGGGUGAGUAACACGUGAGUAACCUGCCCUUGACUUUGUGAUAACUUCAGGAAACUGGGGCUAAUACCGGAUAGGAUCUCCUGCUGCAUGGGGGGGGUUGGAAAGUUUCGGCGGUUGGGGAUGGACUCGCGGCUUAUCAGCUUGUUGGUGGGGUAGUGGCUUACCAAGGCUUUGACGGGUAGCCGGCCUGGGAGGGUGACCGGCCACAUUGGGCCUGAGAUACGGACCAGAAUCCUACGGGAGGCAGCAGUGGGGAACAUUGCACAAUGGGCGGAAGCCUGAUGCAGCAACGCCGCGUGCGGGAUGACGGCCUUCGGGUUGUAAACCGAUUUCGCCUGUGACGAAGCGUGAGUGACGGUAAUGGGUAAAGAAGCACCGGCUAACUACGUG
rnacentral:rRNA from 1 species